GCGGAUUUUUUUGAUCCUCCGCUUUAAUGAAUGCUGAGUAGUGAUGUGGCCAGGAGCAAGCAUAGAGCCUUCAGGAGUAGAGCCAUUGUUUUCGUUAUUAUCCUCACAGUUAUUGAUCGACGUAGAUCUACCUUGAACCUCCUUAGCCACAGAACGACGAAAUAGUGGUGAAGACUGAUCUCUGAAAUCCAUAGAAGCUCUUUCCCGUAUUUGCUCCAGAUAAAUUUUACGACGCUGUUCACUUUCUCUGAGUCUUUCAGCUAACUUCUGGGCCAGGAGUUCAGCUUCCUCCUGUUGAGC
rnacentral:misc_RNA from 1 species